rnacentral:rRNA from 1 species
UACGGGGGGGGGCAAGCGUUGUUCGGAAUUACUGGGCGUAAAGGGCUCGUAGGCGGCCAACUAAGUCAGACGUGAAAUCCCUCGGCUUAACCGGGGAACUGCGUCUGAUACUGGAUGGCUCGAGUUUGGGAGAGGGAUGCGGAAUUCCAGGUGUAGCGGUGAAAUGCGUAGAUAUCUGGAGGAACACCGGUGGCGAAGGCGGCAUCCUGGACCAACACUGACGCUGAUGAGCGAAAAGCCAGGGGAGCAAACGGG